rnacentral:rRNA from 1 species
GAUGAACGCUGGCGGCGUGCCUAAUACAUGCAAGUCGAGCGAACAGACGAGGAGCUUGCUCCUCUGACGUUAGCGGCGGACGGGUGAGUAACACGUGGAUAACCUACCUAUAAGACUGGGAUAACUUCGGGAAACCGGAGCUAAUACCGGAUAAUAUAUUGAACCGCAUGGUUCAAUAGUGAAAGACGGUUUUGCUGUCAGUUAUUGAUGGAUCCGCGCCGCAUUAGCUAGUUGGUAAGGUAACGGCUUACCAAGGCGACGAUGCGUAGCCGACCUGAGAGGGUGGUCUGCCACACUGGAACUGAGACACGAUCCAGACUCCUACGGGAGGCAGCAGUAGGGAAUCGUCCGCAAUGGGCGAAAGCCUGACGGAGCAACGCCGCGUGAGUGAUGAAGGUCUUCGGAUCGUGAAACUCUGUUAUUAGGGAAGAACAAAUGUGUAAGUAACUAUGCACGUCUUGACGGUACCUAAUCAGAAAGCCACGGCUAACUACGUG